UGGGGAAUAUUGGGCAAUGGGGGAAACCCUGACCCAGCAACGCCGCGUGAAGGACGAAGGCCUUCGGGUUGUAAACUUCUUUGAUCAGGGACGAAAGCAAAGACGGUACCUGAAGAACAAGCCACGGCUAACUACGUGCCAGCAGCCGCGGUAAUACGUAGGCGGCGAGCGUUAUCCGGAUUUACUGGGUGUAAAGGGCGUGUAGGCGGGUUUGCAAGUCGGGUGUGAAAGAUUCGGGCUUAACCCGGAGAGGUCAUCCGAAACUGCAGAUCUGGAGUGCUGGAGAGGAUAGUGGAAUUCCUGGUGUAGCGGUAAAAUGCGUAGAGAUCAGGAGGAACACCAGUGGCGAAGGCGGCUAUCUGGACAGUAACUGACGCUGAGGCGCGAAAGCGUGGGGAGCAAACAG
rnacentral:rRNA from 1 species